GGAACUUGCACUUUGGAGACAUAAGUGUACAAGGCAUCCAGGGAUUGACUACUGCCAAUAAGAAUGUAGUUGUUAAUGGCAUAAACACAAACCACAUUGUGAUGAGAGGUCAGAACGCCACAUUCCUAGACAAGAAAUCUUUCCAGAACUUAAAGAUUCUAGAGGACCUGAACCUAGACUUGCUUAAUGGAAUUGAUCUCUCUAGCCUUGCUGAAGAUUUGGUGUAUAUGAAUACAUUUAAGCCCCAGGUCUUGGAUGGCCAUUUUACUCUGCAUGACUUAAAUGUGGAUGGAAAUGUGGAUGUGACGCACAUCAAUGGUGUAGACAUGAAAAACUUGAUACCAUGGUUGUCAAGACUUCUGGAGACUUCACAUUAUCUGGUGAUGUGACCUACCAGAACGACUUCGAAGUGUCUGGUAGUAUGACCAGCCCUAAACUGAAUGGAAUUGCUAGGGAAAACAUUGUCGAUCUGCAGACCCCUCACAUUCCAGGAGAUUAUACAUUUACAGAUGCUAACGUAAUAUCUACUAUAACAUGUAAUGACAUCAAUGGCAUCGACAUCAACGUUGAUGUGGCCACCAUUGAUGACGAUUUAAUUUUUUUAGGUCGACUAACUUUCCUUGACGAUGUUUUGGUUAGUGGGUCUCAGGGGGUACAAAUGACGAACACUGCUACCAUAAACAGCAUCCAUCCAAAAAGCCUCGAAACCUUUGACCAAGGGAACCUCGUCAUAAAGACGAAUGUUACCUUUACUAAUACUCUAAAUGUCCUGGAAGAUGUUACUGUAGGAGUUAUUAAUGGUCUGGAUAUGAGUGGUAUUGAAGAUAGAUAUUGGAGGAAAAGCACAAACCAGAUAAUACUGGUAUCACCUACCUUAGAUACUACUACAUUCCAAGCGGCUGUUACGGCGAAUGAUGUAAAUGGAGAGAUGGAGGACUUCCUAUCUGUUACAGGUUCUCAAACCAUUGAUGGGGCCUACACUUUCCAGGGCUUGGUUAAUUUGGCUGGUAAUCUCGACAUGGUGGAUGGAAAGACUGUAGAUGGUGUUGAUGUCUCUGCACUAAAGAGUAACUUGGUUACCCUGACUGAUGACCAAACUAUAACUGCACAAACAAGCUUUGCAGGGAAAAUUAGUGCAUCUGGUAGCUUGGACUUGGAUGGCAAGCUGAAUGGAUGGGAUUUGAAUAAAGACUUCAUGAGGCUUGACUUGUCACUGCCUCACACACAGGUGAGUAUCUUGAACUUUGGGGACAAAACUACUGCUGCAUCCCUGAGUAUGAACAGAGCAAAUAUAGAUGUCCAAAGCCUUAAUGGAUUGAAUGUGAAGUCUGCAGUUGAUGACUUGGUCAUCAUGACUGAUGAUGCAACAGUUAAUGGACCCCUCAAAUUCACCACCAGUGUGAACGUGAACGAACUCUCCGUUAGUGGAACAGUUGAUGGUGUUGAUGUGGUAGAUCUCGUGGACAGAAGUCUUAAAAAGAUCUCGCCUACACCACAGGCCAUAACUGGUGCUAUCACAGUGAACAAGGGAGUACACUUGGAUCAGAGCCCAUCUCUAACUAUAGUUAAUGGCAAGGACUGGACAACCCACUAAGCAAGGAAAGUUAUACCGCAAAAUUACAAUGGUGUAAUUGGUGGAAAGAAAACAUUCACAAAGCCGGUAUCCAUUUCGGGUAACUUCAAUCCAACAACAAUAAAUGGCUUUGAUGUACCUCAACUAUCAGACAGAAUACUGACUAAAGUACAAACCAGAAUGUUGGCAGCAAAUACACUAUCACUGGCGAUGUCAUGGCCAAGAAUGUAAAUGCUCCAGUAAUUGAUGGAGUAAACACUGCAAACCUUGUAUUGGUGGACCAGGGUGUAUCAGUAGGUGGAUCAGUUGACUUUGCUGAUUACUUAGAAUGAAGGAUGUUACUUCCGAUACAGGAGUACUAGAUGGCUGUGACGUUGUUCAGCUUAAUGCUUCUGCAUAUGGAGAUCAAGUGAUGGAAGUAUAGAAAUGCCCUUCCCAGUAACCGUGAAGUCGGUUAACAUUCGAAAGGAUGUUACAGUUAAUGGUGUUGUAAGGCAGGAUCAAGGGAACUGAUUCAUUUCUUAAACACUCUCGUCUUGAAGUCUUCAAAUCAGGAUAUCUCGGGGAAAGUAGAAUUCAUCACUGAUGUUACAAUGACGAGUUUGUUGGCACAAACUGCAGAUGGAGUCGACAUUGAUAACUUGUAUGCUGUAACAGUUAUGAACAACCAGGAUAGUGUCAUAAACUGUAAUGUCGCCUUCACCAAAGACUUGAAGAUCAAAACCCUAUCUGUGGAUACUGUUUUUGGUGUGGGUCCUGAAGGCACACUAAUAAACUCUCUUAAUGUGUCGGAUAUUAAUGCUAAUGCAGUACUUACUCUGGGAGGAUCUUACAUCAUGACUGGAAUAAAGACUUUCACUAAUGGCUUGACUGCUGAUGGACUGAAAGUUACUGGAUCCCUAGGUGGCAUACCAGUAAGUGACUUGGUGGUAGUGUCUGCAAGUGGCAGACUUGCAGACAACUUGCUCUUCACAGCCCCCAUAACUGCCAAAGGAGACCUAGAGGUUGGAGGACUGAUAGAUAACGUUGACCUGGAACAACUUCUAAUUGAUAGAAUCAGGCUUGACACUACAGAAUCCUUAACAUCUUCUACAAGCUUCGAGGGAAUAAAAGUGGAAGGUGAUCUGGAGGUUGAAGAAAUCAAUGGAAUUAAAACUACAAGAUAUUGUACUAAAGUCUGGAAGAAUACAGCAGGAUAUUACAGGACCCAAAACUUUUGCUGGAGGCUUGAAAGUAGAAGGGGAAAUCCAAGCUACUCAAAUCAAUGAUGUGGAUAUUCCAGCAUUAAACCUGAAUGUCGUUCGAAAGGAUAGAGCGGACAAGAUAAAACAUAAUCUGAUCUUUGAGGCGGCUGUGGCAGCUAAAACUUCAAUUGAUGUCACAGGGAAAGUAAACGGCUAUAAAUUAGAGGAUAUAAACUAUUCCCCAUCCGUCUUGAGCAAAAAUAUUUUGGACACCAGUACUAGACUCUACAAUCUCAAUAGCACACUCUCUGAUGUUUUCAUCGAUACAAAGGCUCUUGCUUGUGGCAUGUAUGAAAACCAUGAGGUAUGGCGAACUGCUUAAUAUUGAAACCGUAGCAAUAACGGGUAAAAUGAGUUAUGGAAGCUAUGGUGGGAUACCUUUCUUGGCAGUAAGGGAGUGUGAAGUCUUUUGCACAUGCCCUAAUCGCUACUCUUUUUACCAUGUAUCUAAUGAUGGUAUGUUGUGGAAAGACUUCAAUGAUACAGACUCUGCAUUCAUCUUUGAUUCAGAUGGUUAUGAAGGGACAGGACUUGUGAACCACUGCACUGGAACAACUGAAGUGAAAACAUUGCAGCUCGCAGAUAAAAGCCACACAGUUGGUGACUUGGGAACUGUAGCAGAUAUUGGAGUAUUUUCGGUAAAGGGAGUAACU